CACGUAGGGUGCGAGCGUUGUCCGGAAUUAUUGGGCGUAAAGAGCUCGUAGGCGGUGUGUCGCGUCGGCUGUGAAAACUCGGGGCUUAACCCCGGGCCUGCAGUGGGUACGGGCAGACUAGAGUGCGGUAGGGGAGACUGGAAUUCCUGGUGUAGCGGUGAAAUGCGCAGAUAUCAGGAGGAACACCGGUGGCGAAGGCGGGUCUCUGGGCCGUAACUGACGCUGAGGAGCGAAAGCGUGGGGAGCGAACAGG
rnacentral:rRNA from 1 species